UGGGGAAUAUUGGACAAUGGGCGAAAGCCUGAUCCAGCCAUGCCGCGUGUGUAAAGAAGGUCUUCGGAUUGUAAAGCACUUUAAGUUGGGAGGAAGGGCAUUAACCUAAUACGUUAGUGUUUUGACGUUACCGACAGAAUAAGCACCGGCUAACUCUGUGCCAGCAGCCGCGGUAAUACAGAGGGUGCAAGCGUUAAUCGGAAUUACUGGGCGUAAAGCGCGCGUAGGUGGUUUGUUAAGUUGGAUGUGAAAUCCCCGGGCUCAACCUGGGAACUGCAUUCAAAACUGACUGACUAGAGUAUGGUAGAGGGUGGUGGAAUUUCCUGUGUAGCGGUGAAAUGCGUAGAUAUAGGAAGGAACACCAGUGGCGAAGGCGACCACCUGGACUAAUACUGACACUGAGGUGCGAAAGCGUGGGGAGCAAACA
rnacentral:rRNA from 1 species